CAGUCGCCACGGUAAUACGAGGGGGGCUAGCGUUGUUCGGAUUUACUGGGCGUAAAGGGCGCGUAGGCGGACUGAUAAGUCAGGGGUGAAAUCCCAAGGCUCAACCUUGGAACUGCCUUUGAUACUGUUUGUCUUGAGUUCGAGAGAGGUAAGUGGAACUGCGAGUGUAGAGGUGAAAUUCGUAGAUAUUCGCAAGAACACCAGUGGCGAAGGCGGCUUACUGGCUCGAAACUGACGCUGAGGCGCGAAAGCGUGGGGAGCAAACAGGAUUAGAUACCCCCGUAGUCCCUGUCUCUUAUAC
rnacentral:rRNA from 1 species